UACGUAGGGGGCAAGCGUUGUCCGGAAUGAUUGGGCGUAAAGCGCGCGCAGGCGGCUUCUUAAGUCUGAUGUGAAAGCCCACGGCUCAACCGUGGAGGGUCAUUGGAAACUGGGGAGCUUGAGUACAGGAGAGGAGAGUGGAAUUCCACGUGUAGCGGUGAAAUGCGUAGAGAUGUGGAGGAACACCGGUGGCGAAGGCGGCUCUCUGGCCUGAGACUGACGCUGAGGCGCGAAAGCGUGGGGAGCGAACAGG
rnacentral:misc_RNA from 1 species